CAUUCAUACCUUGGCAAGCAUAUCUAUUUAAUGGCUACUGGGAAGAUAUUGGGACCAUUAAGUCCUUUUUUGAUGCUAACUUGGCUCUCACAUAUUAGCCUCCCAAGUUUUAAUUUUAUGAUCUGCUGAUGCCAAUCUUCACGUCUCCUAGGUUUCUACCACCAACGAAGAUAGAAAAAUGUUAGAUUUUGGACUAAGGGAAUGAAGUGUUGAACAUUCCAUAGUUGGGACAUGCUCAAGACUGAAUUAUGGGUCUGAACUGAGAGUAAUGCAUGUCUCAUCCAUGACGCACUUUCUUGACAGAAAUGUGUGAAUGGUAUCAUGGCGGCGUGCAGGGACGCCGUGCUAAGCGGGCGGGGCUAGUGCCACGGCGGACAAGGCAUCGUUGGGGCGAAUUAGAUGAAAGACACAAAAAGAAAAUUGUUGCUGAUUUUUUUCC